rnacentral:rRNA from 1 species
GCCCACAAUCUGCACUGGCUUUAAUUAGUCGGUGUUAGGGACUGGCUCGUUUACUUUGAGAAAAUUAGAGUGUUCAAAGCAGGCUCUUGCCUUGAAUAUGUUAGCAUGGAAUAAUAAUAUAGGACUUUGGUCCUAUUUUGUUGGUUGUUCGAGGACCGAAGUAAUGAUUGAUAGGGACAGUUGGGGGCAUCAGUAUUCUGAAGCGAGAGGUGAAAUUCUUGGACCUUCGGAAGACUAACAACUGCGAAAGCAUUUGCCUAGGAUGUUCUCUUUAAUCAAGAACGAAAGUUGGGGGAUCGAAGACGAUCAGAUACCGUCGUAGUCUCAACUAUAAACUAUGCCAGCUAGGGAUUGGUGGACGUUUUAUUACGACUCCAUCAGCACCUUAUGAGAAAUCAAAGCAUUUGGGUUCCGGGGGGAGUAUGGUCGCAAGGCUGAAACUUAAAGGAAUUGACGGGAGGG